rnacentral:rRNA from 1 species
AGAGUUUGAUCCUGGCUCAGGAUGAACGCUAGCGGCAGGCUUAAUACAUGCAAGUCGAACGGGAUUGGGGGCUUGCUCCCAUGAGAGUGGCGCACGGGUGCGUAACGCGUAUGCAACCUACCUUGAACAGGGGGAUAGCCCGGAGAAAUUCGGAUUAAUACCGCAUAAUAUAACGGGGUCAGCAUUGGCCUGUUAUUAAAGAUUUAUUGGUUCAAGAUGGGCAUGCGUGCCAUUAGCUUGUUGGUGAGGUAACGGCUCACCAAGGCAACGAUGGCUAGGGGAUCUGAGAGGAUGACCCCCCACACUGGUACUGAGACACGGACCAGACUCCUACGGGAGGCAGCAGUAAGGAAUAUUGGUCAAUGGGCGCAAGCCUGAACCAGCCAUGCCGCGUGCAGGAGGAAGGCCCUACGGGUUGUAAACUGCUUUUAUCUGGGGAUAAACCUUACUAUGCGUAGUAAGCUGAAGGUACCAGAUGAAUAAGGAUCGGCUAACUCCGUGCCAGCAGCCGCGGUAAUACGGAGGAUCCGAGCGUUAUCCGGAUUUAUUGGGUUUAAAGGGUGCGUAGGCGGCUCAUUAAGUCAGUGGUGAAAGGUAACCGCUUAACGGGGACACUGCCAUUGAUACUGAUGAGCUGGAGUACAGAUGAAGUGGGCGGAAUGUGUCAAGUAGCGGUGAAAUGCAUAGAUAUGACACAGAACACCAAUUGCGAAGGCAGCUCACUAAAGUGUAACUGACGCUGAGGCACGAAAGCGUGGGGAUCGAACAGGAUUAGAUACCCUGGUAGUCCACGCCCUAAACGAUGAUUACUCGAUGUUAGCGAUAUACGGUUAGCGUCAAAGCGAAAGCGUUAAGUAAUCCACCUGGGGAGUACGGUCGCAAGAUUGAAACUCAAAGGAAUUGACGGGGGCCCGCACAAGCGGAGGAGCAUGUGGUUUAAUUCGAUGAUACGCGAGGAACCUUACCCGGGCUUGAAAGUUAGUGAAUGUACCAGAGAUGGGACAGUCCGCAAGGACACGAAACUAGGUGCUGCAUGGCUGUCGUCAGCUCGUGCCGUGAGGUGUUGGGUUAAGUCCCGCAACGAGCGCAACCCCUAUGAAUAGUUGCCAGCACGUUAAGGUGGGGACUCUAUUCAGACUACCUACGCAAGUAGAGAGGAAGGAGGGGACGACGUCAAGUCAUCAUGGCCCUUACGUCCGGGGCUACACACGUGCUACAAUGGGCAGUACAGCGGGCAGCGAAGGAGUAAUCCGGAGCCAAUCUUGUAAAGCUGUUCACAGUUCGGAUUGAGGUCUGCAACUCGACCUCAUGAAGUUGGAUUCGCUAGUAAUCGCGUAUCAGCAAUGACGCGGUGAAUACGUUCCCGGGCCUUGUACACACCGCCCGUCAAGCCAUGGAAGUUGGGGGUGCCUGAAGUCUGCUGCCGCAAGGGGCGGCCUAGGGUAAAACCGAUAACUGGGGCUAAGUCGUAACAAGGUAACC